rnacentral:tRNA from 1 species
UAAAAACUAGUUAAACUAUAACAUUAGCUUGUCAAGCUAAAAUUACUAAAAGUGUUUUUAA